AGCCACGUCGGCGAGGGGUUGGCGCGUCUCCCAAAGAGCGGGGCGGGGCGGGGCGGGAGCCUUCGGGUUUCCGCGAGCUCAGCUGACCCAGUUGUGGCUGGGCGGUGAAGUUUUAACAGAACUGGGUUUUCAUGACAGCUCUCAAGUUGCACAGGGUGUCCUAGGCCCUCCCGAAACCUGAGGAGAUCAGAAGCGGAGACAAUUCAAGAGCGUGGGAAGUCUGAGAUCAAGGUGGCAGCAGACUUGGUGUCUGAAUCUCAGAGGCUUCUGGGACUGGAGUCUUGUCAUGCCUCCGCCUAACACCAACUCUAUAGAAAUAUGAUUUCAUUACCACAACUAAGUGGCCUCAUAUCAGGUGGGAGAAAGACCAGCUAGACCAGAGAAAGCUGCCUGACCCCCUUGAGGCCAUCACUGAAGACUGGAACUCACAAACCUGUGCUCCCCUGGUAUGUGAAACGUCGUGAGCCUAAGAACCAGGCUACCCCACGGCUGAGGUCCUGCAGACUAUCUGGUGGGGCUGGACCAGGCGUCAGUAAAUAAAGUAGCCUUCCUUUUCUCCGACAAGCCCAGCCGCCCUGCCUGCUAAUUGUGGAGCAAACAGAAAAUGUCAACUAGUUAACUUGAAACAUAUGUCACUUUAUUUGGCCAAUUGUUUGGUUUAAUUAACAGACACGCUUCCGGACACAUUUGUCUCAUUUAUUUUCAGUCUAACAUUGAAUCUUAAUUCAGUCCUUUUAAACGAUGACAAAGGAAUGCCUUUGCAAUUUGCCUGUUUUCCUAAAAAUCUUUCUAUUACUAUAAAUAAAUAUAUUUAUAUCUAUAAA